CAGCAGUGGGGAAUAUUGCACAAUGGGCGCAAGCCUGAUGCAGCGACGCCGCGUGCGGGAUGACGGCCUUCGGGUUGUAAACCGCUUUUGAUCGGGAGCAAGCCUUCGGGUGAGUGUACCUUUCGAAUAAGCACCGGCUAACUACGUGCCAGCAGCCGCGGUAAUACGUAGGGUGCAAGCGUUAUCCGGAAUUAUUGGGCGUAAAGGGCUCGUAGGCGGUUCGUCGCGUCCGGUGUGAAAGUCCAUCGCUUAACGGUGGAUCUGCGCCGGGUACGGGCGGGCUGGAGUGCGGUAGGGGAGACUGGAAUUCCCGGUGUAACGGUGGAAUGUGUAGAUAUCGGGAAGAACACCAAUGGCGAAGGCAGGUCUCUGGGCCGUUACUGACGCUGAGGAGCGAAAGCGUGGGGAGCGAACAGGAUUAGAUACCCUGGUAGUCCACGCCGUAAACGGUGGAUGCUGGAUGUGGGGCCCGUUCCACGGGUUCCGUGUCGGAGCUAACGCGUUAAGCAUCCCGCCUGGGGAGUACGGCCGCAAGGCUAAAACUCAAAGAAAUUGACGGGGGCCCGCACAAGCGGCGGAGCAUGCGGAUUAAUUCGAUGCAACGCGAAGAACCUUACCUGGGCUUGACAUGUUCCCGACCGCGGCAGAGAUGUCGUUUCCCUUCGGGGCGGGUUCACAGGUGGUGCAUGGUCGUCGUCAGCUCGUGUCGUGAGAUGUUGGGUUAAGUCCCGCAACGAGCGCAACCCUCGCCCUGUGUUGCCAGCACGUCAUGGUGGGAACUCACGGGGGACCGCCGGGGUCAACUCGGAGGAAGGUGGGGAUGACGUCAGAUCAUCAUGCCCCUUACGUCCAGGGCUUCACGCAUGCUACAAUGGCCGGUACAACGGGAUGCGACACGGCGACGUGGAGCGGAUCCCUGAAAACCGGUCUCAGUUCGGAUUGGAGUCUGCAACCCGACUCCAUGAAGGCGGAGUCGCUAGUAAUCGCGGAUCAGCAACGCCGCGGUGAAUGCGUUCCCGGGCCUUGUACACACCGCCCGUCAAGUCAUGAAAGUGGGUAGCACCCGAAGCCGGUGGCCUAACCCUUUGUGGAUGGAGCCGUCUAAGGUGAGACUCGUGAUUGGGACUAAGUCGUAACAAGGUAGCCGUACCGGAAGGUGCGGCUG
rnacentral:rRNA from 1 species